GACGGGGAUGACAAAUUCGAAAAAGUGAUUGGGCAGUAAUUAAAUGCUAAUUAGAUGCUCCAAUAAUACCCAAGGCCCGAAUUUGUCGCUCGUCAUUUACGAUUUUUUCUGUUACAUUCCAAAGCUUAUCCCACUCGAAAUGAAGCUAACAAAUACAUGGCUCAACGUCAAUAUCAGCUUGUCACUGCGAACUCACCUUCUGCUUAUUCUGUCUGGCCCUGGUUAACACAUAGGCUACAUUCGUAGUAUAUAGCGUGCGCACAGCGUUCUUGUUGUUCUGCUACAGUGCAAGAAAAAGAGUGCUGAUCGGAUAUUCUGAGUUUUGUGAGAAAUUCAAAGUCUUGCGUUGGCCACGGGUUUGGUAUAAUAUUUCUGUCUUCUUGUCGAAUGAACCUCAUGUACGUUAUUACGAAAAUGAUCUGGUGAGUCUUUUAAGCAUCUUGUGUUUGUUCAAUAAAUAUUCAUUCGUGUUGAUUAAACAAACAAAACAUAAAUUAAAUCAAAACUGAUCAUCCAAAACUACUUCAUAAUAAGUAGAAGUAAAAGGUCGUCCUUGUUGAUCAUUUUUGUUGAGUUUUCUGUUUUUAUCGUGCGACCUAUCACUGUGUGUGUGACGUUAUAAGUAACUCAGAGUGGGGAGCAUGAUAGGUAAAUAGAUCUUUCAUUCAGUUCGUCGUAUUGAAGCAGGCAUCGUGUAACCACGCUCCAGAAUAUUAAAUUUUUCAUAUUCAGUUAAAACUGCAAAAGCGACAUUUAAGUCACAGUGCUGUGUUAUCAAACAGGGAAAGAGAGCCAAGGGGUGAGGUGAUUUCGCCUCACCUUCUAGUGUGUUUUGUUCGGAUCUGCUACCCGGAGAAAACGUACGGCAGCGCCGGUCUGUAGCAGAAGACCAGCGUCCCAAGAAAAAAAAAAAUUGAUACCUGAAGUCCGAUAGGAAUAAAACUGGAGAAAUCGGUAAGAAAAUAGUUUUUUUUUCUAUUUCCAACAAAAUCUACUGUAUAGAAUAGUACUUCAUAUUUUAAACAUUUCAAACUUAAUAUCUCAUAAUUAUUUUAUCUUAUAAAAAUUAAUCUUUUUUUUUUAUAUCUUUCACAGGUUCACUCGUCGAAUUUAAACCAAACAAGCGCGUGAGGUCUGGCUUGAUGAUUACCAGUUAACCUUACGGGCGCAGAAUUGGCUCUCGUGUCGUCGAAUUUGAAAUACGAGCUCGGUGGCCUCAACGAAAUUGUCGUAUAGUGCCCUAGCUCUGGGUUAUUAUCGACCACAGAUCGGGUUGCUGUCCUUGGAGGCGUAAAAUCUAUUAUACCGAUAAGUCUGUAACGAGACUUUCCAUUGCUUAACGGAUCACAGCAACUCUUCGGGAUUUGAUCCAACAUUAAAACUCCAACAUCAUCCGUUUCCAUGAUCAUGAAAAGACCUGUAAAUGCCAAUCGUUACGCAUAAAAAUACACGACGUUCAACGAAAACAUCAGCCAGAUGCUUGAUUAGGACCCAACUUAAAGAUGGAAGAAUGAAGAAAGAACAUCAAAGAAAGAAGAGAAUAACAAUACAAAUAACAAAUUAACAUAAAUCAAUCGGGCAGUGAUAUUUUACAAUAUAAAAAAAAGGAUGAACGUUUUUGAAUGGAA